AUGCAUUUUCCUUCACCAAAGGACUUCGGCGAGGAAGAGGAACGAGACGAGAAAAAUGGGGAACGAAGAGAUGGUGGGGAAUGCCCAACCGGGGGCGGAAAACAGGAAACAAUGACGCAGCCGCCCGAGCCUCGGCCCAGCGAGCGCGCCCCGCUCCCCGGCAGCGCGGUCGGCGUUGGGCGCCAACGCCCGGAGCGGCGCUCCCUCCCCGCCCUCGGCGCGUCCCCCUCCCAGCCGCAGCGGCGCGCAGCCUUCCCGCAGGUUCUGCGGCAGCCCUGGGACCCCACGCCGGGCCUCGCUCGGCAGCUCGUCAUCCUGCACGCUCCUGCGGGGAGACAGACUUCCCACGAGCCNNNNNNNNNNCCCGGCUCCCGGGCGCCCCUGCCCGCCGAGGCCGGCCGCGCGCUCGCAACCCGGCCCGGGUUCCGGCCGCAGGCAGCAGCGGCCCGCGCCCCGCCUCCCCGAGGGCGCCGGCCGUCCCGCCCGCCGCGGACGCCCCUCGGCCACCGCCCGCCCGCCGCCGCCGCCGCCCCGGGCGCUCUCCGACCACCCCGCCGGGGCCCCGAGGGGCGGGGGCCGGCGGCCGCAGAGUCACUCCGGGGCGCCCUCCCUCCCCCGCGCCGCUGGGCGCACGCGCAGCAGCCGCCGCCGCCUUUAUUUGGUCCGCGAUGGCUUCUCUCGCGCCGCACCGUCCUCCGCCCGCAGGCGGCUCCCUCCCCGCGCACCCCGGAGCCCCCGGGACCAGCCUCGAGCAGGGCCCCGAGCGGGACUAUCCUUAAACUGGGACGGCAGCGGCCGGACUUGCGCGUGAGGACAAGAAGCGGCAACCGGAAAGAGCUGACGGCUCGCGAGGAGGCGAGCCAGGCCGCAGAGGAAGAGGAAGGCCGGGGCGAGCCGAGGUUUGCCGAAGGCGGCGUUCCCGAGCCGCGCGGGGCGGGGAGGAAGGCCGAGGGUGGGAGAGGAGGGGCGCGGCGGAAACUGCCGAGGUUUGCCGAAGGCCGCGGCGGCCGAGUUGCCCGGAUGUAG
rnacentral:lncRNA from 12 species